rnacentral:rRNA from 1 species
GACGAACGCUGGCGGCGUGCUUAACACAUGCAAGUCGAACGGAGUGGCGAACGGGUGAGUAACGCGUAGUCAACCUGCCCUUCAGAGGGGGACAACAGUUGGAAACGACUGCUAAUACCGCAUACUGAAGGAGGGGAUUGCGUCUGAUUAGCUAGUUGGCGGGGUAACGGCCCACCAAGGCGAUGAUCAGUAGCCGGGCUGAGAGGAUGAACGGCCAAAUCUGGACUGAGACACGGCCCAGACUCCUAAGGGAGGCAGCAGUGGGGAAUCGUCCGCAAUGGACGAAAGUCUGACGGAGCAAAGCCGCGUGAGUGAUGACGGCCUUCGGGUUUUAAAGCUCUGUUAAUCGGGACGCGGUACCGGAAUAGAAAGCCACGGCUAACUACGUGCCAGCAGCCGCGGUAAUAC